rnacentral:rRNA from 1 species
CGAACGGGUGAGUAAUGCGUGACCAACCUGCCCCAUGCUCCAGAAUAGCUCUUGGAAACGGGUGGUAAUGCUGGAUGCUCCAACUUGACGCAUGUCUUGUUGGGAAAGUGUUUAGUGGCAUGGGAUGGGGUCGCGUCCUAUCAGCUUGUAGGCGGGGUAAUGGCCCACCUAGGCUUCGACGGGUAGCCGGCCUGAGGGGGCGGACGGCCACAUUGGGACUGAGAUACGGCCCAGACUCCUACGGGAGGCAGCAGCA